CCUACGGGAGGCUGCAGUGGGGAAUAUUGGACAAUGGGGGCAACCCUGAUCCAGCCAUGCCGCGUGUGUGAAGAAGGCCCUCGGGUUGUAAAGCACUUUCAGUGAGGAAGAACGCCUGGUGGUUAAUACCCAUCAGGAAAGACAUCACUCACAGAAGAAGCACCGGCUAACUCCGUGCCAGCAGCCGCGGUAAUACGGAGGGUGCGAGCGUUAAUCGGAUUUACUGGGCGUAAAGCGCGCGUAGGUGGCUUGAUAAGCCGGUUGUGAAAGCCCCGGGCUCAACCUGGGAACGGCAUCCGGAACUGUCAAGCUAGAGUGCAGGAGAGGAAGGUAGAAUUCCCGGUGUAGCGGUGAAAUGCGUAGAGAUCGGGAGGAAUACCAGUGGCGAAGGCGGCCUUCUGGACUGACACUGACACUGAGGUGCGAAAGCGUGGGUAGCAAACAGGAUUAGAUACCCCUGUAGUC
rnacentral:rRNA from 1 species